rnacentral:rRNA from 1 species
UACAGAGGGGGCAAGCGUUGUUCGGAAUUACUGGGCGUAAAGGGCGCGUAGGCGGCCUUCUAAGUCGAACGUGAAAUCCCCGGGCUCAACCCGGGAACUGCGUCCGAUACUGGAAGGCUUGAAUCCGGGAGAGGGAUGCGGAAUUCCAGGUGUAGCGGUGAAAUGCGUAGAUAUCUGGAGGAACACCGGUGGCGAAGGCGGCAUCCUGGACCGGUACUGACGCUGAGGCGCGAAAGCGUGGGGAGCAAACAGGAUUAAGAAACCCCGGUG